rnacentral:lncRNA from 1 species
GUACUCAAUCAAUAAAAUAUUAGUUGUAUUGCUACUUUAAUGUAUAUAUAUAUAUAUAUAGAGAGAGAGAGAGAGAGAGAGAGUCCGGGAGGUUCCAUGAUAGAAAAACCACCUCAUCACCUUAUCAGAGGGAAAAUGAACUAGUCAAAUUUCCCUGGUCAUGAGGAAAACCCCUCUACCCACCACUGGAGCUCCUGGAGUUAGUGUCAAAAGAGAGAAUACUGCAAGACUGAAACCAAUAUGUUGAAAGGCUGAAAGGGUACAAAAUUUACAAUUUUAUGUAGGAAAGUGUCAUUCUUUUUAUAGGAUGUCUUUUAAAGGGUAUCAUUCCUAGAAUAUAUUAUGGAUAUUACCUUUUAAUAAAAUAUACAUGGAGUUCAAUUAGGAAAAGAAAGAAAUACAUUUACAAACAAGAAUGCAAAUGUUCCUUCUUUGCAUUUCUGGAAGAAUGUUUUGAAAUAGAGAACUUGAAGCAACUGAAAGCAACUGAAUGCCUGAAUGAUUUGGAUUUUGCUUUGGCAGUAAAAGUAAUUCGCCUGAAAACUGUGAAGGAGUUGGCUGGUUGUAGGUCAAGUGUUUCGUCAUCGUGCCUGCUUAUUGCAACAACAUUUGUAGGAAUUUCAGUGGAGGAUCACCAUAAGAGACUCUCUAAGCAAUCAAUUUUAAAUGGUCAGGAAAGAUCUUUUUUUAAAAUGACCCUGUCUAACUCACUGGAAGGGAUGCACUCAAGCUUGGUAAACAAGAAGACCAUCGGCACAGCUCCACGGCCUGUUUACCCAUGGAAGAUGACUGGCUUCUUGGCUGAAAGGGGCCCAUGGCUGCUGUCCCUAAUGGAGGUAAGAUGUUGUUUCAGUUAUGACCUUCAACUCUCACACAAAUCAGUGUUUCUCAAACUGGGGGAAGGGUUGGAUGGUGGGAUUUAUUUAUGA